GUGGGGAAUCUUGCGCAAUGGGCGAAAGCCUGACGCAGCCAUGCCGCGUGAAUGAUGAAGGUCUUAGGAUUGUAAAAUUCUUUCACCGGGGACGAUAAUGACGGUACCCGGAGAAGAAGCCCCGGCUAACUUCGUGCCAGCAGCCGCGGUAAUACGAAGGGGGCUAGCGUUGCUCGGAAUUACUGGGCGUAAAGGGAGCGUAGGCGGACAGUUUAGUCAGAGGUGAAAGCCCAGGGCUCAACCUUGGAAUUGCCUUUGAUACUGGCUGUCUUGAGUUUGGGAGAGGUGUGUGGAACUCCGAGUGUAGAGGUGAAAUUCGUAGAUAUUCGGAAGAACACCAGUGGCGAAGGCGACACACUGGCCCAAUACUGACGCUGAGGCUCGAAAGCGUGGGGAGCAAACAGGAUUAGAAACCCCAGUAGUCC
rnacentral:rRNA from 1 species